rnacentral:misc_RNA from 1 species
CUGCCAUCAGCUGGAAAAGUCCGAAGUCUCCUUCGGCACGCUCGGGCCAAGCCUGACCAACUACGGCAAGGACCGCAAAUACGCACCGGACGAGAUCAAGAACGCUUUCACCAAGAUCUACNNNNNUCGCAGGCCGUGUUCGCAUGCUCCAACAUGCCGCGCUUCGGCGCGAACAAGGUGCUGAGCGAGCAGCAGAUCAAGGAUCUUGUCGCGCUGCUGUUCGAUCCGGAAUCGCCGGUCAACAAGUAGGCCGGCUGCAAGCCAGGCGGAGAUAACGGGAUGAAGAUACACACUCUGNNGCGGCUGUCUGCGCCCUCGCCUCGGCUCCGUCGCGUGCGCAGGACGCGACCGUCGCCACCAAGUCGCUCAACCCCGAGAUCGCGCUCGACGCGGCGAAGGCGGCGCUCAACGAUUGCCGCAAGANNNNNCGGUUGCGGUGGUCGAUCGUUCCGGCACGCCGCAGGUGAUGCUGCGCGAUCGCUUCGCGGGUGCGCACACGCCGCCCACGGCAACCGGCAAGGCGUGGACCGCGGUC